GACGAACCGGACAAACGUUAUUCGGAAUUACUGGGCUUAAAGGGCGCGUAGGCGGCGGAUCAAGUCCGGGGUGAAAGCCCCCAGCUUAACUGGGGAAGUGCCUCGGAUACUGGUUCGCUCGAGGGAGGUAGGGGUCGCGGGAACUUCCGGUGGAGCGGUGAAAUGCGUUGAUAUCGGAAGGAACGCCGGUGGCGAAAGCGCGCGACUGGACCUCUUCUGACGCUGAGGCGCGAAAGCCAGGGGAGCGAACGGG
rnacentral:rRNA from 1 species